rnacentral:rRNA from 1 species
AUUGAACGCUAGCGGGAUGCCUUACACAUGCAAGUCGAACGGCAGCACGGACUUCGGUCUGGUGGCGAGUGGCGAACGGGUGAGUAAUGUAUCGGAACGUGCCCAGUAGCGGGGGAUAACUACUCGCAAGAGUAUCUAAUACCGCAUACGCCCUACGGGGGACAGGGGGGGAUCGCAAGACCUCUCACUAUCGGCGCGGCCGAUAUCGGAUUAGCUAGUUGGUGGGGUAAAGGCCCACCAAGGCGACGAUCCGUAGCUGGUUUGAGAGGACGACCAGCCACACUGGGACUGAGACACGGCCCAGACUCCUACGGGAGGCAGCAGUGGGGAAUUUUGGACAAUGGGGGCAACCCUGAUCCAGCCAUCCCGCGUGUGCGAUGAAGGCCUUCGGGUUGUAAAGCACUUUUGGCAGGAAAGAAAUCGCAUGGGUUAAUACCCUGUGUGGAUGACGGUACCUGCAGAAUAAGCACCGGCUAACUACGUGCCAGCCGCCGCGGUAA